rnacentral:rRNA from 1 species
UUCUGGCUCAGGAUGAACGCUGGCGGCGUGCCUAAUACAUGCAAGUCGAGCGAGGUAGCUUGCUACCUAGCGGCGAACGGGUGAGUAACACGUAGGUAACCUGCCUUUGAGACUGGGAUACCCGAGCGAAAGUUCGGCUAAUACCGGAUAACAACGGGGACGGCAUCGUCUCUGCUUGAAAGGUGCGUUUGCACCACUCUUAGAUGGACCUGCGGCACAUUAGCUAGUUGGUGAGAUAACAGCCCACCAAGGCAAGGAUGUGUAGCCGACCUGAGAGGGUGACCGGCCACAAUGGGACUGAGACACGGCCCAUACUCCUACGGGAGGCAGCAGUAGGGAGUUUUCGGCAAUGGGCGAAAGCCUGACCGAGCAACGCCGCGUGAAGUGAUGAAGGUCUUCGGAUUGUAAAGCUCUGUUACGAGGGACGAAUUACCGGGUCAGGAAAUGGGCCCGGCUUGACGGUACCUCGCCAGAAAGUGACGGCUAACUACGUGCCAGCAGCCGC